rnacentral:lncRNA from 1 species
GAGAGGCUCAGCUGACAACAGAAAAAGGACAGGAAAGAAGAAGGGAGAAAAGGUGGAAAAGGUCAUGUUCGGACUCCAGACCUGGUUUAUGGGAAAACAUCCUCAUCCAGAAUCAGAGGUUUUGUCUUGACCUCUUGAUGCUUGUGUGUUUUUGGUCAGCUGUCCCAUUUACUGUUUCCCAUUUCUAGUGAGUGAGUAGGCAGGGGGCUGGGGCAGCAGACAGAGUCAGCGGCAGGGACACGUCUCAGGCAUCCGAACCCCCUGGGUGCUGCUCCUGUGUGCGUUUGCUGGUCUCCCCCCAGAGACUCUGAGAAGCCGACUGGAUGCUCUCAUUUUAACAACACACACCUCUCCUCUUCUUGCUCCUUCUCCGAGCCAGAAACUACAUGAUCUACAGACGCGUUUGGGGAGGACUGUCCCGGAUGACUCUAACGGACCUUUCAACGAAACAUGUGGGACGCAAGCUGAGAAGAAUGCUCACCCACCUCAAGGGCCAUAUUUUCCAAGGAUCUCUUCAGCAAUUGCAAAAGAGGAUGAUGGCAGAGGAAGACUUCUCAGAGGGUGCAGCCAAGAGUCGUGUGGAACCAUGGACUGGGAGCCACUGCCAGGCAGCAGAACCAAGGCCCAGUGAAGGCACACUGCCUGCUCCUGGAGUGCUUAGUGUUGUGUGCCACUGAGUUUGGGGUGACUUGUUAUGCAACACUCUUGUGAAAAGGUGGCAGACACUGAAAUUGGCAUCCAGAACGAGGCCCUGGCUGCACCCAAAGGGAAACGGGGGCGUGGGGGGUUCCUUUUGCAUACCCAGUUUCUGUGGCCUUGUGUGCUCCCCGUUUUGUCCCAUGUCUGAAUGUAAAUGUUGCAGGAAGUCUGUCUCU